GGAGAGAUGUCCGAGGGGUCGAAGGAGCACGACUGGAAAUCGUGUGUACGACACAAUCGUACCGAGGGUUCAAAUCCCUCUUUCUCCGCCA
rnacentral:tRNA from 1 species